rnacentral:rRNA from 1 species
GUGGUUUAAUUCGAUGCAACGCGAAAACCUUACCCACCUUUGACAUGUACGGAAUCCUUUAGAGAUAGAGGAGUGCUCGAAAGAGAGCCGUAACACAGGUGCUGCAUGGCUGUCGUCAGCUCGUGUCGUGAGAUGUUGGGUUAAGUCCCGCAACGAGCGCAACCCUUGUCAUUAGUUGCUACAUUCAGUUGGGCACUCUAAUGAGACUGCCGGUGACAAACCGGAGGAAGGUGGGGAUGACGUCAAGUCCUCAUGGCCCUUAUAGGUGGGGCUACACACGUCAUACAAUGGAUGGUACAAAGGGUCGCCAACCCGCGAGGGGGAGCCAAUCCCAUAAAGCCAUUCGUAGUCCGGAUCGCAGUCUGCAACUCGACUGCGUGAAGUCGGAAUCGCUAGUAAUCGUGGAUCAGAAUGUCACGGUGAAUACGCUCCCGGGUCUU